rnacentral:rRNA from 1 species
UCGGGAAUUUUGGGCAAUGGGCGAAAGCCUGAUCCAGCAAUGCCGCGUGAGUGAUGAAGGCCUUAGGGUCGUAAAGCUCUUUUACCCGGGAUGAUAAUGACAGUACCGGGAGAAUAAGCUCCGGCUAACUCCGUGCCAGCAGCCGCGGUAAUACGGAGGGAGCUAGCGUUGUUCGGAAUUACUGGGCGUAAAGCGUACGUAGGCGGUUAUUCAAGUCAGAGGUGAAAGCCCGGGGCUCAACCCCGGAACUGCCUUUGAAACUAGAUAGCUAGAAUCUUGGAGAGGUCAGUGGAAUUCCGAGUGUAGAGGUGAAAUUCGUAGAUAUUCGGAAGAACACCAGUGGCGAAGGCGACUGACUGGACAAGUAUUGACGCUGAGGUACGAAAGCGUGGGGAGCAAACAGGAUUAGAUACCCCGGUAGUCCCUGAGCGGGCUGGCAAGGCGCAU